UCACAUAAUCUGUCUGCAUCUACUUUACCCCAUCCGAAGAACACCGCAGGGUCUGUCUAGGUUCACUUUGUAUUAAACCAGUUCUCGAAGCAUAAAUUAUUCGAGAGAGAGAGAGAUCAUCAUGGGAGAGGUUGAUCCAGCCUUCAUUCAAGACCUUGAGCACAGGCCAAAGCUUGAGAUCAUCAAAGCAGAAGGAAUACCCUUAAUUGAUUUAUCCAUAAUUAAUUCUCCUAACACCAACUUGGAUAACUCUCAAGCGCUUGAUGGUCUGGUGAAGGAGAUAGGGAAUGCAUGCAAGAACUUGGGGUUCUUUCAAGUGAUCAAUCAUGGGGUGCCUCUUGAUAAGCGACAAAAGAUUGAGAAUGCAUCAAGAAAAUUUUUCGGUCAGCCAUUAGAGGAGAAAAGGAAGGUUAGGAGAGACGAGCAGAAGGUGUUGGGUUAUUAUGACACCGAGCAUACCAAAAAUGUUAGGGACUGGAAAGAAGUGUUUGAUUUUGCUGUGAAGACUCCAACCAUUGUGCCAUCCUCGUAUGAGACUGAUGACAGGGAAGUUACCGAAUGGUUUAAUGAUCAGUGGCCCGAGUAUCCCCUUGAACUAAGGGAGGCCUUGGAAGAAUAUGCUAAAGACAUGGAAAAACUAGCCUUCAAGUUGUUGGGGCUCGUUGCCCUGAGUCUAGGCUUACCAGAGAAUAGGUUCCAUGGAUUCUUUGAAGACCAAACCAGCUUCAUUAGACUCAAUCAUUAUCCCCCUUGCCCUGUUCCACAACUAGCUCUUGGCGUUGGUCGACACAAGGACGCUGGAGCCUUGACCAUCCUCGCUGAAGAUGAUGUUGGGGGACUAGAAGUCAGAAAAAAAGACGGGGAAUGGAUUCGAGUUGAGCCAACCCCUGAUGCCUUUAUCAUCAAUAUUGGUGACAUUAUCCAGGUUUGGAGCAAUGAUGCUUAUGAGAGUGUGGAACAUAGAGUUAUGGUGAACUCUGAGAGGGAAAGGUUUUCCAUUCCGUUUUUCUUCAACCCGGCACACUACACUGAUGUGAAGCCCCUGGAGGAGCUGACAAAUGAGCAAAACCCUGUCAGAUACAAGCCAUACAACUGGGGAAAGUUUUUUGUCACGAGAAAGCGCAGCAAUUUCAAGAAGCUUGAUGUAGAGAACAUCCAAAUUUAUCACUUCAGGAUACUAGAGUCCGAGUUAGCUGAUAAGCUAGAGGGAGCACUGUCCAUCAAGUAACAAGAAAUGAAUCACUACCUUCUACAGAAAAAAGUCUCUUCUAUGAGAUUCAGCAGUAUCAUGUAUAAAAAUAAUGGGAUUUGGUAUGAAUAAAGGUCCUGAUAAACCCCCCUUUUUACAUUGUAGAAACAACGACGAUUUGCUGAUUCUUGCCUUCCAAAGAGAGCUGGGCGUCUUCCUCCUCUCAAGAUGGUGACUUGGAAAGCUUCAAAUAAUUCACAGGCUUGAAACCGAAGCAAUAAGGUAAAAAAAAGAUGGAGGCAGUCUGGGUUUGGUUCCUUGAUUUUUUAAGUGGCCGGACUUUGUCGUAACGGCAUGAGGGUUAGGCCUUCCAUAUAUGAGAUGAAGAUUUGUGGGUUUUCUAGAGUGGAAGAUAUGGAGGCUUGAGAGGGCAAUAGAAGGCCUAUUUUUUUUUAGUUUGUAUCAUGGUAAUGAUUCUCUCCUCUCCCAGUUGUUUCAGAACCUCUCCUUUUAUAGGCAACAAUGGAGGAUUCUAGACUUUCUUUGUUGGCAACACCAUAGUAUUUGAUCUCCAUAGCCCUCCUCUGCAGCCGUUGGUUGGGAUUUUGUUG